rnacentral:rRNA from 1 species
UACGAAGGGGGCUAGCGUUGCUCGGAAUCACUGGGCGUAAAGGGUGCGUAGGCGGGUCUUUAAGUCAGGGGUGAAAUCCUGGAGCUCAACUCCAGAACUGCCUUUGAUACUGAAGAUCUUGAGUUCGGGAGAGGUGAGUGGAACUGCGAGUGUAGAGGUGAAAUUCGCAGAUAUUCGCAAGAACACCAGUGGCGAAGGCGAGUCCCUGGACAGGUCCUGACGCUGAGGCACGAAAGCUAGGGGAGCAAACAGG